CAACCUGCCCACCACUUGGGGAUAACCUUGCGAAAGUAAGACUAAUACCCAAUGACGUCUCUAGAAGACAUCUGAAAGAGAUUAAAGAUUUAUCGGUGAUGGAUGGGGAUGCGUCUGAUUAGCUUGUUGGCGGGGUAACGGCCCACCAAGGCAACGAUCAGUAGGGGUUCUGAGAGGAAGGUCCCCCACAUUGGAACUGAGGCACGGUCCAAACUCCUACGGGAGGCAGCAGUGAGGAAUAUUGGUCAAUGGACGAGAGUCUGAACCAGCCAAGUAGCGUGCAGGAUGACGGCCCUAUGGGUUGUAAACUGCUUUUAUAAGGGAAUAAAGUGAGUCUCGUGAGACUUUUUGCAUGUACCUUAUGAAUAAGGACCGGCUAAUUCCGUGCCAGCAGCCGCGGUAAUACGGAAGGUCCGGGCGUUAUCCGGAUUUAUUGGGUUUAAAGGGAGCGUAGGCCGGAGAUUAAGCGUGUUGUGAAAUGUAGACGCUCAACGUCUGCACUGCAGCGCGAACUGGUUUCCUUGAGUACGCACAAAGUGGGCGGAAUUCGUGGUGUAGCGGUGAAAUGCUUAGAUAUCACGAAGAACUCCGAUUGCGAAGGCAGCUCGCUGGAGCGCAACUGACGCUGAAGCUCGAAAGUGCGGGUAUCGAACAGGAUUAGAUACCCUGGUAGUCCGCACGGUAAACGAUGGAUGCCCGCUGUUGGUCUGAAUAGGUCAGCGGCCAAGCGAAAGCAUUAAGCAUCCCACCUGGGGAGUACGCCGGCAACGGUGCAACUCUAAUGAAU
rnacentral:rRNA from 1 species